UAAACCUAUAAAAAGACCCAGGCAAGCUAAAGAAAAAAAUAUACUGUGAUAUACCGUGAAACCAUCAGAAUCUUAAAAAAUACUGUGAUAUACAUUUUUGGUCAUACCACCCAGCACUAUUACACAUGCAAAAAGCCAA